rnacentral:misc_RNA from 1 species
GUGAAUCAUCGAAUUUUUGAACGCAAAUUGCACUUUCUGGUAUUCCGGAGAGUAUGCCUGUUUGAGGGUCAGUAAAAUAAUAAACGGAGUUAUUGCUGGGAAUGGUGAUGCAUCGGGAUUGAGUCGUCUUUACCUUUGGUUUUAAGUGAAGUAAAAUUAUGAAAAAUUUUUUAACGUAUUUAAAUUAUUUACUUACGUUCAUGAUAUCAU